rnacentral:lncRNA from 1 species
GAAGUCCUGGCUUGAUGGAAGACUGCCAAGGCUGUUCAUGUGCAGCCCUCGCCGAACAGACGCUAGCAUCGACUAGGCCGAGGUUCAGGUCUAUGGCAGUCUCCAAAGGUUGUUGAUGGCAUACACGGAGGGUAUCUCCAAGGAGAAGGGGUGGGGU